UAGUUUUGUCCUAAGUCAAACUUUUCUAACUUUAACCAAGUUUAUAGAAAAUAUAUUAACUAUCUACAAACCAAAUAAAUACACUAUGAAGACAUAUUUCAUGAUGGAGUUAACAAAACUAAUUUGAUGCCGUAGAUGCUGGUGCAUUUUUCUAUAAACUUCAUCAAAGUUAGAGGAGUUUGAAUUAGGACAAAACUAA
rnacentral:pre_miRNA from 1 species